AGGGGAGGAGAGGCCCCGCUGAAGGUGCCCAGGGCCAUAGGGUCUUUUCAGGAGCCUCGGGCCAGAGGCGGGGUUCUGACCACGGUGUUGCUCCCGGGUAAACCGGGUCAACCACCCUGCAA